rnacentral:rRNA from 1 species
UACGUAGGGGGCAAGCGUUGUCCGGAUUUAUUGGGCGUAAAGAGCGUGUAGGCGGUUAGGUAGGUCCGUUGUGAAAACUCGAGGCUCAACCUCGAGACGCCGAUGGAAACCAUCUAACUAGAGUCCGGAAGAGGAGAGUGGAAUUCCUGGUGUAGCGGUGAAAUGCGCAGAUAUCAGGAAGAACACCCGUGGCUAAGGCGGCUCUCUAGUACGGUACUGACGCUGAUACGCGAAAGCCAGGGGAGCAAACGGG